AUUGAACGCUGGCGGUAUGCUUAACACAUGCAAGUCGAACGGUAGCAGGCCUUCGGGCGCUGACGAGUGGCGGACGGGUGAGUAACGCGUAGGAAUCUGCCUGGUAGUGGGGGACAACUUAUGGAAACGUAAGCUAAUACCGCAUACGCCCUAGGGGGGAAAGCAGGGGAUCUUCGGACCUUGCGCUAUCAGAUGAGCCUGCGUUGGAUUAGCUAAAUGGUGGGGUAAAGGCCUACCAUGGCGACGAUCCAUAGCUGGUCUGAGAGGACGAUCAGACACACUGGGACUGAGACACGGCCCAGACUCCUACGGGAGGAAGCAGUGGGGAAUAUUGGACAAUGGGCGAAAGCCUGAUCCAGCCAUUCCGCGUGAGUGAAGAAGGCCUUCGGGUUGUAAAGCUCUUUCGGCAGGAACGAAACGGCGAGCUCUAACAUAGCUUGCUAAUGACGGUACCUGAAGAAGAAGCACCGGCUAACUUCGUGCCAGCCGCCGCAGUAAAAC
rnacentral:rRNA from 1 species